rnacentral:rRNA from 1 species
AGCAGCCGCGGUAAUUCCAGCUCCAAUAGCGUAUAUUAAAGUUGUUGCAGUUAAAAAGCUCGUAGUUGAAUUUCGGGGUCAGUAGGUCGGUCGUGCCACUGGUAUGAACUGGUUUUACUGAUUCCUCCCUCUUGAAGAACUGUAAUGCCAUUAAUUUGGUGUUGCAGGGAAUCAGGACUGUUACUUUGAAAAAAUUAGAGUGUUUAAAGCAGGCUUUAGCUUGAAUACAUUAGCAUGGAAUAAUGAAAUAGGACGUUUGAUCCUAUUUUGUUGGUUUCUAGGAUUGACGUAAUGAUUAAUAGGGAUAGUUGGGGGCAUUAGUCAUUCAAUUGUCAGAGGUGAAAUUCUUGGAUUUAUUGAAGACUAACUACUGCGAAAGCAUUUGCCAAGGAUGUUUUCAUUAAUCAAGAACGAAAGUUAGGGGAUCGAAGACGAUCAGAUACCGUCGUAGUCUUAACCAUAAACUAUGCCGACUAGGGAUCGGAUGAUGUUAAUUUUUUAAUGACUCA